rnacentral:lncRNA from 1 species
AGAACCAAAACUAACAGUAAAGCAGGUAAGCAGGAACCUGUUUGGCUGAUAAAAGUUCACGGCAUUGCUCUUUCAAGGUCAGAACAUCUUCCUGUACCUUCUUUAUCCUAUAUAACAGCUUCAUUGGAUUUGCCUACCACGAACAACUCACCCUUAAAGUUCACUUGCAAAAAAGAGAUCCCGAACUGAAUUAGAAUUUAAAGCGUAAUCAGAAAUUAGGUUCGCUUACAUUAUUAGGAUAAAUUUGCUGAAACUCCUUCUCCAGCUUGUAGUGAACCACAGAGAGAUCAUGGUUCGCUUUGGUGAACAGAUUCACCAAAGUAUCCAUAGCUUGGUGAUGAUUCUGUUGACGAAGGUGAUGAUCCAUCCUCCGUCGCUCUGAAGUAACUUUUCUCUCCCUCCUAGGGUUUCUUUUUUGUUAAUUUUAGAUUGCAGAUGAUAUUUUCCCGCUCCUGUUAACUUUUGGUUUCCCAGGGACUAAAGAAAAAGGCG